rnacentral:rRNA from 1 species
GAUGAACGCUGGCGGCGUGCCUAAUACAUGCAAGUCGAGCGAACGGACGAGAAGCUUGCUUCUCUGAUGUUAGCGGCGGACGGGUGAGUAACACGUGGAUAACCUACCUAUAAGACUGGUAUAACUUCGGGAAACCGGAGCUAAUACCGUAGAAGAUUUUGAACCGCAUGGGUCAAAAGUGAAAGACGGUCUUGCGGUCACUUAUAGAUGGAUCCGCGCUGCAUUAGCUAGUUGGUAAGGUAACGGCUUACCAAGGCAACGAUGCAUAGCCGAACUGAGAGGCUGAUCGGCCACCCUGGAACUGGGCCACGCUCAUGACUACUACGGGAGGGCGCAGUCGGGAAUGUUACGCAAUAGUCGAGAGCCUGACACAGCAGCGCCACGCGAGAGACGAAGGUCUUCCGAUCGUGAAACCCGGUUACUAGUGAAAAACCUAUGUGUCCGUAGAUGAGCACAUAUUGACGGUAAUUAAUAAGAAAGCACCGGCUAACUACGUG